AGAGUGUUACACAGGUGAUGCAUGGCUGUCGUCAGCUCGUGUCGUGAGACGUCCGCUUAAGUGCGGUAACGAGCGCAACCCUUAUCUCGUGUUGUAUUUCACGAGAGACUGCUCUGGCUCUGCCAGGGAGGAAGGAGAGGACGACGUCAAGUCAGCACGUCCCUUACAUCUGGGGCCACAAACAUCCUACAAUGGAGCCGACAAUGGGUAGCGACGAGGUAACUCCGAGCCAAUCCUGAAAACGGCCCCUCAGUUCAGAUUGAGGGCUGCAAUUCGCCCUCAUGAAGUCGGAAUCGGUAGUAAUCGCAAAUCAGCAGGUUGCGGUGAAUACGUUCUCGCUCCUUGUACACACUGCCCGUCAAGCCAGCAAAGUUGGCAGCGCCCGAAGCGG
rnacentral:rRNA from 1 species